AUUGAACGCUGGCGGCAGGCUUAACACAUGCAAGUCGAGCGGAGGAAGGUAGCUUGCUACUGGACUUAGCGGCGGACGGGUGAGUAAUGCUUAGGAAUCUGCCUAUUAGUGGGGGACAACGUUUCGAAAGGAGCGCUAAUACCGCAUACGCCCUACGGGGGAAAGCAGGGGAUCACUUGUGACCUUGCGCUAAUAGAUGAGCCUAAGUCGGAUUAGCUAGUUGGUGGGGUAAAGGCUCACCAAGGCGACGAUCUGUAGCGGGUCUGAGAGGAUGAUCCGCCACACUGGGACUGAGACACGGCCCAGACUCCUACGGGAGGCAGCAGUGGGGAAUAUUGGACAAUGGGCGAAAGCCUGAUCCAGCCAUGCCGCGUGUGUGAAGAAGGCCUUAUGGUUGUAAAGCACUUUCAGCGAGGAGGAAGGUGGUGAACUUAAUACGUUCAUCAAUUGACGUUACUCGCAGAAGAAGCACCGGCUAACUCCGUGCCAGCCGCCGCCGUAAAAC
rnacentral:rRNA from 1 species